rnacentral:rRNA from 1 species
AGUGAACGCUGGCGGUAGGCCUAACACAUGCAAGUCGAACGGCAGCACAGUAAGAGCUUGCUCUUACGGGUGGCGAGUGGCGGACGGGUGAGGAAUACAUCGGAAUCUACUUUUUCGUGGGGGAUAACGUAGGGAAACUUACGCUAAUACCGCAUACGACCUACGGGUGAAAGCAGGGGAUCUUCGGACCUUGCGCGAUUGAAUGAGCCGAUGUCGGAUUAGCUAGUUGGCGGGGUAAAGGCCCACCAAGGCGACGAUCCGUAGCUGGUCUGAGAGGAUGAUCAGCCACACUGGCACUGAGACACGGUCCAGACUCCUACGGGAGGCAGCAGUGGGGAAUAUUGGACAAAGGGCGCAAGCCUGAUCCAGCCAUACCGCGUGGGUGAAGAAGGCCUUCGGGUUGUAAAGCCCUUUUGUUGGGAAAGAAAAGCAGCAGGUUAAUACCCCGCUGUUCUGACGGUACCCAAAGAAUAAGCACCGGCUAACUUCGUG